rnacentral:lncRNA from 1 species
AUGCUUUGCCGAAACUUAUUAGAUGUUUUAGGUAAUGAGGCCCGCAUUUCACUCUUGGGCCGACUUCGGCCAGACGCAGGGGCGGAGCCAGAGGGGUGGCUUGGGGUGGCCCACGCCACCCCUGAGAUUCGAUUGGCCACCCCUUUAAAUCAGCGCGGGAGCUUGGACAGUCAGACACCAGAACUCAGAAAUAUUCAGACAAGGGUGGUGGAGACACUUCAGAUCCUUAUAAGGGUAUGACAUCUCAGCUAUAUCUGAUUGAAUUGCACUUGUUUUAGUUAAUACAACAAAAUGUAUUUUACAUUUAAAUUUAGGUCCAUCAUCAUCAUCUUGUCUCACUGGUUGUCCACGUGCAGCUACAAACCCAACCCCUGGACCUCAUGGUGUGUACUGUAUGUUUUAUCCUGGUUAAAAUAUAUAUAGAAAACACAUGUUUGUAUGAUUUGCUGAAUUACUUUUGUUCUUUCCAGACAUCUCCCAAUCAAGGGCAGCAGAUC